CUAUUGGGAAUGAAGUUCUCCCAUGGGUAUAAAUCCCUAAACCGCAAUUAUGCUGAUGACUUCUGCGA
rnacentral:ncRNA from 1 species